CUGAAGAAAAACAGUGUCAAAGUCCUGUGGUUUCCUAAGAUGCACUUCCAUGAUUCUUGUGAAAAGGCAGAGCCUUGUAUGCCAGUUCCUUGGGAGUGGCAGAGUACUGGAACAUGCUGCCUAGAUUGAUUGAGGAGAUUCCUUGUCUGGAGAUAUUCAAGACCUGUCUGGAUGCCUACCUGUGCAGCGUGCUGUAGGGACCGUGCUUUAGCAAAGAGGUUGAACUCAAUGGUCUCUAGAGGUCCCUUCCAACCCCUACAAUUCUGUGAGUCUGUGAGAAUUUAAUUGAGCUGGGAAUUUUUGCCACUGAAUCUCCAAGGAAGAUCCUUACACCUCAAAGUGCAGGACCACCUGAAGUUUUAGAAAUGCUUCCUAGUCUUCAUCUACUGGCAAACUAUUCAGGAGGCACAACUCAGGUGGUAGCAUGGCUACUGCUUACACUGACAGCAGGAUGAGAGAGUUUACAUUUCCUCCUGGAUUUUCCAGGUAAUCAGUAGAGAAGUCAGUUCCACAACAUGAUUAAAUCAGACGUGAUGCUGAACUUCUAGUAACUUAGUCAUCAUCGGUAGCUAUCUCAAGCCUAAGAGGAAGUGGUUGAGAGGAGAUAUUCUUUCUCUACUGAUCUCAAAAGAAAAGACCAUGAAUAAUUUUACAAGCUUCUAAUAGUUUGGACCGCAAAAACACAUACAGUGGAAAACAGUUUACUGCUUCUUUGUACUUUCAAAGACUUUUUUUUUUUUUUUAAUAUUAGAAAUUGAAUAAAAGCCAUAAUUUCUGUUGCCUUGAUACAAUCCCUUUCCACAGUCCAAUGAAGGAAUCUUUCUCUGGGUUCCUCUGUUCAUUAGUAUAAACCUAGUGAAUAAAUUAAUCUGCACUACAAAGACACUAAAACAGCUGGGACGUCACUCCUAAUAACCCUCUACCAUUUGUACAUGUGG
ensembl:lncRNA